rnacentral:rRNA from 1 species
CAGCAGCCGCGGGAAUACGUAGGUGGCAAGCGUUGUCCGGAAUUAUUGGGCGUAAGGGGCUCGCAGGCGGUUUCUUAAGUCUGAUGUGAAAGCCCCCGGCUCAACCGGGGAGGGUCAUUGGAAACUGGGAAACUUGAGUGCAGAAGAGGAGAGUGGAAUUCCACGUGUAGCGGUGAAAUGCGUAGAGAUGUGGAGGAACACCAGUGGCGAAGGCGACUCUCUGGUCUGUAACUGACGCUGAGGAGCGAAAGCGUGGGGAGCGAACAGGAUUAGAUACCCCUGUAGUCCCUGUCUCUUAUAC